AGCUCAUAUCGUUUCUAAAAUCUAAACAACACCUUUUUUUUUUCAAAAGAAAACACAACGAAGAAAAGCUGAUCAUAUUUAUUCAUAGGCGAUUGGGCUCAACCCAACCGCUCAAGCUUGGACUCAAUCUUUUGAUCCAUUAACUAACAAUUUAUCGGCCCCAAGUCCAACUACCGUUUUAAACCCAGCAUUAGUUUUCCACUUUUGAGCCAACGAUGAGGAGAGUUGACCGGCAACGGCUUCCAGGUUACCCCUCUCGAAAGAAUCAAUACACUUUUCAAUACCCGGCUUUCCACACCUGUCGGCUAAUAACGUGGCUCAGGUGCUCUUCUUCUUCUUUGGCAAGUUUCGAGACCUAGCUAGUCUCAUUGGUUCUUCGCCUCUCCUAGAAACUUCUGCUCUGGCCCUCACAAUCUUCCCCACGAUUCUAGGGACCUUCCGCCGUCGACUUCGGGUAUUAAUUUUGAUUAGGAAAUCGUUAAAAUAUGAACCUAUUUCUUUUUCCAAUGAUUAAUUGGAAACAGUUCGGUUCUGCAGGAGGAUGAAUUUCGUAGAAUUGCUAAUUGCACAAUCUAUGACCGUCAAGAAAAUUAGGGGAAUAUGGUGAUAUUGUUCAGAUUGAUGGUCUCGAUGUAGAUUAUGGCAAUGAAGUAUUGACACUAAAACUUGGGGCUUUGGGCUCCUACAUGUUGAAUAAACAGACGCGUAAUUGACAAAUUUGGUCAUCUUCACCAUGAAGGUACAAUUAUUUGCUAUAUUAUUAUUAUUAUUAUUUGGUUGUGAGAGUCUUAGAUUUGCCAUUGUGUUCUUUGGAAUUGAAGAUAUUGUGUAGUUUAUACUUGUGUCUCCUUGAACGGGGCAUGGUUCUUAUUUAAUCUUUGAUACAUUGCUUGGAAGUGUAUUUUUUAUUUUUUUUUUCUAAAGUUGCAUGCAGGUUAGGUUGAGCAUAUAAAUAAAGUUUACUGUUUUAAUGUCAGCUCUUAAUUACACUGGAACUAACUGCAUGUUGAUAUUACAGAAGUUUUAUUUUGUCUUUGCUUGAAUAAUUUUUAGUGAUACAAGAUGAGGUGAAUCAAAGAGUUGUGAUGUCAUUUUCACUUGGCUAUUAAUUUGGUUGGUCCAAGACUUUAGAUGUAUACAGGGAAAGGUGGGUUAGUUGCCAAAAGAAUUUUAUCAUUUGUUGAAACUAUUCAUGCAGAUUUCAGUCGGUGCUUAUUUUUUAAGAUACAACGAAAAUUAUCAGGUUUUGGACCUGGUUGUGUUUUCAAUGGUCCUUGUAUAACUUGGUCCUAGAUGAUUGGUGGAUAUGUAUAUUUGUUAAAAAUCAAAUAUACAACCAAAACUUGAAUACUUGAUACUGAUGCCUUCUGAAGGGGCCUUUUUUAGUUAUUUUUAGGUGUGUUAAAAAUGCCAUUUCCUUUUUCUCUUCUGCUCUUCAUAGUAGCCACCGCUGGGCAGCAAAAAGGUUGAAUUUUCACGCGUCUCAUGGUUUCUCUAAAUAAAAAAUAUGGGUAGGAAUGGAAGGGAAUCAAGGUCUGCCUAUUGCCUUUUUUAAGAAAAAAAAGAAGUUCUGCCUAUUUGAAGAAAUCAGCGUUUCCUCUUAUAUUGGACUUACAUGGGUACAUAAUACAUUUCAAUUGCUUUGAACCCUUUAUCUAAUUCUUUUCUACUGGGAUUGAAUUUUACUAUUUAGUGGGAUCACUAGAUUUAGACAGAAGAUUAAUGUUUCUAUAUUUGUAGUAUUUUGUGUUCGGACUCUAGCUGACGACAAUUUUUGCUUACAGCACUUCAUGGUCAGACUGUGUGUUUUACCCAAUUCUCGUUAUGACCAUUAUAUAUGUUUCUUGAAGUAUAAAUGAUGUCAAGUUUUUGUCAGUUUUCAUGAAUUAUCCUUUUCUAUCUCAAAGGUAAUGUUUCCUAUGCAGUACUGGUCCAUCCAGAUUUGACUGGGAUCAUAAUGCUCAAGCUUGGGUUUAUCUACGAACUAAAGCAAAUUUAUUGAAACUUUUGAAAAAUGGGUUGGAGCAACUGUGUGGUGAACAAGUCAAUCUUUCUAGUUUGUGGUUCCUAUGAUGCUGGCAUAACUUUGUUCCUGAUCCUGAAAACUCAUUUCACUGCUAAAAGAGGUUGCCUUGAGGUUCUUCAACAAAUUAUCGGAUUCUCAAAUCCCUUCUUUGGAUGUAAUUUUACGAUGUGUCCAUUUGGAAUUGGUCCCAGAUAAAUUCUGGUUCAACAUCCUGUAUAGUACUUUUUAACCUAAGCUUCUCCCCUUGUGAAAAUGUUUUCUGUGGGGCAAAACUUUGAUGAUUGGUAUAGAGGCCGUAAUUUUGGUUUUACCUGCUGGUCUGUUUGCAGAUAGCUCUGAAGAAAAUGUAGCAUAUACUUGAUGCAAAAUAAAUGCCGAGGUUGUGGUGGUUAGAUCUCGAUUUACAGAUG